UACGUAGGGUGCAAGCGUUGUCCGGAAUUAUUGGGCGUAAAGGGCGCGUAGGCGGCUUGGCAAGUGGAUGGUGAAAUCCCUCGGCUUAACCGAGGAACUGCCGUCCAAACUGCUUUGCUUGAGGCCGGGAGAGGCGAGUGGAAUUCCCAGUGUAGCGGUGAAAUGCGUAGAUAUUGGGAGGAACACCAGUGGCGAAGGCGGCUCGCUGGACCGGUUCUGACGCUGAUGCGCGAAAGCGUGGGGAGCAAACGGG
rnacentral:rRNA from 1 species